rnacentral:rRNA from 1 species
AGAGUUUGAUCCUGGCUCAGAACGAACGCUGGCGGCAGGCUUAACACAUGCAAGUCGAGCGCCCCGCAAGGGGAGCGGCAGACGGGUGAGUAACACGUGGGAACAUACCCAUCUCUGCGGAACAACUCCGGGAAACUGGAGCUAAUACCGCAUACGCCCUUCGGGGGAAAGAUUUAUCGGAGAUGGAUUGGCCCGCGUUGGAUUAGCUAGUUGGUGGGGUAAAGGCCUACCAAGGCGACGAUCCAUAGCUGGUCUGAGAGGAUGAUCGGCCACAUUGGGACUGAGACACGGCCCAAACUCCUACGGGAGGCAGCAGUGGGGAAUAUUGGACAAUGGGCGCAAGCCUGAUCCAGCCAUGCCGCGUGAGUGAUGAAGGCCUUAGGGUUGUAAAGCUCUUUCACCGAUGAAGAUAAUGACGGUAGUCGGAGAAGAAGCCCCGGCUAACUUCGUG